rnacentral:rRNA from 1 species
CAAUAGCGUAUAUUAAAGUUGUUGCAGUUAAAAAGCUCGUAGUUGGAUUUGUGGCUGUCACGGGCGGCCUAUCACUUAGUGUUAGUGCUUGCCUGUGUCGCCAUCCUUGGGUGGAGCCCGUGUGGCAUUAGGUUGUCGUGCGGGGGAUACCCAUCGUUUACUGUGAGAAAAUUAGAGUGUUCAAAGCAGGCUUAUGCCGUUGAAUAUGUUAGCAUGGAAUAAUAAGAUAGGACCUCGGUACUAUUUUGUUGGUUUGCGCACCGAGGUAAUGAUUAAUAGGGACAGUUGGGGGUAUUCGUAUUUCAUUGUCAGAGGUGAAAUUCUUGGAUUUCUGAAAGACGAACUACUGCGAAAGCAUUUACCAAGGAUGUUUUCAUUAA